rnacentral:lncRNA from 10 species
AUUUUCUAUAUAUUUUAUCUCCCUUUUCUCAAAACUAGGCUUUUGCCAGUUAUUUCUAAGUGUAAUCAGCCUGACUAGGACCCUCCCCAGUAUGCAAAACAACACACAAGUACACCGCAAUUCUCCUCUGAUGUGUUGCUUCUUAUCCCUUGUGGGCUUGGUAACAGAAGAAAAGGAAGAAAGAAGGAAAAAGAUAUCUAUGUAAAAUGAGUCUUAAAUGCUCUGUUGAAAGGAUUCAGGGUCUCCUCUAUGACAUAUCACCCAAUUCAUCAUCGAGGGGAGGAUGAUACUGAAGAUAUUAUUGACUCAUCACUCUUCUCUACACUUCAUCUCUGAUCAGUCACCAAGUCUUUAUGACUCCACUCAAAAUAUUUCUCAAAUUCAUCUCCUCUUAUGCUUCUAUUUGCUACUGUUAUUUGAAUUCAUUUGCAAGGGCUCCUGGCAUGCUUAAUUUUGUGUGUCAACUUGACUGGGCCAUGGGGUGUCCAGGUCUUUGGUAAAAUGUUAUUCUGUGUAUUCCUGUGAGGAUAUUUUUGGAUGAAAUUAACAUUUGACUGUUAAUUAAAAUUAAAUUAAAAAUUAACAUUUGACUGUAAAUUAACAUGUAGUCUGAGUCAUACAGAUUGCCCUCCCCAAUGUAGGUGGGCCGCAUCUGACAGAAAGGCUGACUCUGCCUGACUGCUGAUCUAAGAUAUAAUUUUUUUUCCUGCCUUUGGACUUGAACUGAAAUACUGACUUUUCUUGGGUAUCAAGCCGUCUAGCCUUUGGACUGGAACUACGCCAUCAGCUCUCCUGGGCCAUCGCCUUGCUGAUUCCAGAUCUUGUGAUGUCUUAUCCUCCACAACU